CCUACGGGUGGCAGCAGUGAGGAAUAUUGGUCAAUGGCCGGAAGGCUGAACCAGCCAUGCCGCGUGAAGGUCAGUGCCCUAUGGGCGUUAAACUUCUUUUGUGCGGGAGCAAUAAUGGUCACGUGUGGCCAGACGAGAGUACCGUACGAAUAAGCAUCGGCUAACUCCGUGCCAGCAGCCGCGGUAAUACGGGGGAUGCAAGCGUUAUGCGGAUUUAUUGGGUUUAAAGGGGGCGUAGGCUGGGAGGUAAGUCAGCGGUGAAAUGCCACCGGUUAACGGGGUGAAGUGCCAUUGAUACUGGCUUGCUGGAAUGCGGAUGAGGUAGGAGGAAUGUGUGGUGUAGCGGUGAAAUGCAUAGAUAUC
rnacentral:rRNA from 1 species